GAUGAAGAACGCAGCAAAAUGCGAUAAGUAAUGUGAAUUGCAGAAUUCAGUGAAUCAUCGAAUCUUUGAACGCACAUUGCGCCCGCUGGUAUUCCGGCGGGCAUGCCUGUUCGAGCGUCAUUUCAACCCUCAAGCCCCCGGGUUUGGUGUUGGGGAUCGGCUCUGCCCUUCUGGGCGGUGCCGCCCCCGAAAUACAUUGGCGGUCUCGCUGCAGCCUCCAUUGCGUAGUAGCUAACACCUCGCAACUAGAACGCGGCGCGGCCAUGCCGUAAAACCCCAACUUCUGAAUGUUGACCUCGGAUCAGGUAGGAAUACCCGCUGAACUUAAGCAUAUCAAUAAGCGGAGGA
rnacentral:misc_RNA from 1 species